UACGUAGGGGGCAAGCGUUGUCCGGAAUCAUUGGGCGUAAAGCGCGUGUAGGCGGCCCGGUAAGUCCGCUGUGAAAGUCCAGGGCUCAACCCUGGAAUGCCGGUGGAUACUGUCGGGCUAGAGUGCGGAAGAGGCGAGUGGAAUUCCUGGUGUAGCGGUGAAAUGCGCAGAUAUCGGGAGGAACACCAAUGGCGAAGGCAGCUCGCUGGGACGUUACUGACGCUGAGACGCGAAAGCGUGGGGAGCAAACAGG
rnacentral:rRNA from 1 species